AUGGUAACCAUAAUAAUGUUCAUAUUUAUAUGCAAUUACAUGCAGUAGCAUUUACUUCUAUACAUACUAAACUGUUAGCUGUUUAAUAGUGACAUCCUUAUACAACUAUUAAGGCCUGAUAUAUAUUGUUGGCUCUUUCCCUAACAGCUUCAGCUUGCAGAGUCUACCGGUCGGUUAGUUAACAUGGUACCGAAGCAAAAGGCCAUGGAUUUAAAUCCUCAUUCAAGCUAGUUUCUUCUUACUACCC
rnacentral:lncRNA from 1 species